rnacentral:rRNA from 1 species
GCGGUAAUACGGAGGGUGCGAGCGUUAAUCGGAAUUACUGGGCGUAAAGCGCAUGCAGGUGGUUUGUUAAGUCAGAUGUGAAAGCCCCGGGGCUCAACCUCGGAAUUGCAUUUGAAACUGGCAAACUAGAGUACUGUAGAGGGGGUAGAAUUUCAGGUGUAGCGGUGAAAUGCGUAGAGAUCUGAAGGAAUACCGGUGGCGAAGGCGGCCCCCUGGACAGAUACUGACACUCAGAUGCGAAAGCGUGGGGAGCAAACAGGAUUAGAUACCCUGGUAG